GAUGAAGAACGUAGUGAAAUGCGAUAAGUAAUGUGAAUUGCAGAAUUCAGUGAAUCAUCGAAUCUUUGAACGCACAUUGCGCCCGCCAGUAUUCUGGCGGGCAUGCCUGUUCGAGCGUCAUUACAACCCUCAGGCCCCCGGGCCUGGCGUUGGGGAUCGGCGGAAGCCCCCUGCGGGCACAACGCCGUCCCCCAAAUACAGUGGCGGUCCCGCCGCAACUUCCAUUGCGUAGUAGCUAACACCUCGCAACUGGAGAGCGGCGCGGCCACGCCGUAAAACACCCAACUUCUGAAUGUUGACCUCGAAUCAGGUAGGAAUACCCGCUGAACUUAAGCAUAUCAAUAAGCGGAGGA
rnacentral:misc_RNA from 1 species